UACGUAGGGUGCGAGCGUUUAAUCGGAAUUACUGGGCGUAAAGCGUGCGCAGGCGGCGCGUUAAGACAGGUGUGAAAGCCCCGAGCUUAACUUGGGAAUUGCGCUUGUGACUGGCGUGCUGGAGUGUGGCAGAGGGAGGUGGAAUUCCACGUGUAGCAGUGAAAUGCGUAGAGAUGUGGAGGAACACCGAUGGCGAAGGCAGCCCUCGUCGGCAGCACUGACGCUCAUGCACGAAAGCGUGGGGAGCAAACAGG
rnacentral:rRNA from 1 species